CCUACGGGUGGCAGCAGUGAGGAAUAUUGGUCAAUGGACGAGAGUCUGAACCAGCCAAGUAGCGUGAAGGAUGACUGCCCUAUGGGUUGUAAACUUCUUUUAUGUGGGAAUAAAACGUUCCACGUGUGGGAUUUUGUAUGUACCAUAUGAAUAAGGAUCGGCUAACUCCGUGCCAGCAGCCGCGGUAAUACGGAGGAUCCGAGCGUUAUCCGGAUUUAUUGGGUUUAAAGGGAGCGUAGGUGGAUUGUUAAGUCAGUUGUGAAAGUUUGCGGCUCAACCGUAAAAUUGCAGUUGAAACUGGCAGUCUUGAGUACAGUAGAGGUGGGCGGAAUUCGUGGUGUAGCGGUGAAAUGCUUAGAUAUCACGAAGAAUUCCGAUUGCGAAGGCAGUUCACUGGACUGCAACUGACACUGAGGCUCGAAAGUGUGGGUAUCAAACAGGAUUAGAUACCCUAGUAGUC
rnacentral:rRNA from 1 species